CCCCAGACUCCUACGGGAGGCAGCAGUGGGGAAUAUUGGGCAAUGGAGGAAACUCUGACCCAGCAAUGCCGCGUGAAUGAAGAAGGUCUUCGGAUUGUAAAGUUCUUUAGUCAGGGAAGAAGUCAAUGACGGUACCUGAAGAAUAAGCUCCGGCUAACUACGUGCCAGCAGCCGCGGUAAUACGUAGGGAGCAAGCGUUGUCCGGAAUUACUGGGUGUAAAGGGAGCGUAGGCGGGAUGGCAAGUUGGGUGUUAAAUCUACCGGCUCAACUGGUAGUCGCACUCAAAACUGCUAUUCUUGAGUGAAGUAGAGGCAGGCGGAAUUCCUAGUGUAGCGGUGAAAUGCGUAGAUAUUAGGAGGAACACCAGUGGCGAAGGCGGCCUGCUGGGCUUUUACUGACGCUGAGGCUCGAAAGUGUGGGGAGCAAACAGGAUUAGAUACCCCCGUA
rnacentral:rRNA from 1 species